AGCUUUGCGCAGUGACAGUAUCAUAGCCAAUGAGGUUUAUCCGAGGAGAGAUUAUUGCUAAAAUACUCUAUGUUAUCAAAGUUCAUUUAUGCAAAGAGUCUAAAAUA
ensembl:snRNA Gm23672 predicted gene, 23672